GUGCUCACUUUGACAGCACAUACACUAAAAUUGGAAUGAUACAGAGAAGAUUAGCAUGGUCCCUGCACAAGGAUGACACGCAAAUUCAUGAAGCAUUACAUAUUUUA
ensembl:snRNA RNU6-188P RNA, U6 small nuclear 188, pseudogene